rnacentral:RNase_P_RNA from 1 species
UAAGUCGGACAAAUGAUCGCGGCUGCGAAGCGGGACUCCCGGAAUGAGCAGUUGAGGAAAGUCCGGGCUUCACAGGGCAGGAUGCCGGUUAACGGCCGGCGGAGGCGACUCCCGGGACAGUGCAACAGAAAGUAUACCGCCGGAUUUGAUGUCCGGUAAGGGUGGAAAGGCAGUGUAAGAGACUACCGCCGCUCCGGCAACGGAACGGGCGCUGUAAACCCCAUCCGAAGCAAGACCAAAACGUGAGAGAAAGGCGGCCCGUCAGCUCACAGGUAGGUCGCUAGAGCCUGUCGGCAACGGCAGGUCCAGAUAGAUGAUCAUUCUCGACAGAACCCGGCUUAUAGUCCGGCUUAUCCG